CUUCAUUUAUAUUGGCAAGUAGCGCGACGAGCAUCUUCAGUUCUCACAGAUCGGUCCAAACGGUACGGUCUAGCAAAGUAAAGCUUUUUUCAAAUUAUUUUUUAAUAGAUCGCCUAGAACUUUUAGAAAAGUAAUUUUCCUUGCUUAAAGCAAAUCAAAUUUUAUAUUUGCAAAAAUGGCGCGUGCUGUACUAUGCAUGGUGAGUGAUUUUUAACAGAAAAAAUACCAAAAAUAUUAAUAUUUGUAAAAACCCUACAUGCAGGUAUUUAUUGAAUAUCAUUUUCAGUUUUAACUAAAAUUGAAUACAUAAAUUCUGAUAAAUGCCUUUAAGCGCAUUAAAAUUAACCUUAAAAUUGGCAGCUGCUAUUGGCGUUUCAGGGGCGAGCCAGCAGCGCCAAGGCACGGCGAUGAAGAUAAACACAAAUUAAAAAGCAAUAUACACAUACAUACAUACAUACAUAUAUAUAUGAAUGUAAGUAGUGCAAUAUUUAUGAACUUUGUAUGACAACAAAUUUCACUUGCACGCUUUCAUGGUCAAAAUCGUUGCAUAACCUGUUGCCAGCGCGGAAGAAUUUGCCACAGUUUCGUUAAAACCGUAAGCAAGCGAGUCAGCGUGCUGCCGGCGUUGUGUGGCGGCUGUAAUAUGAGACAGGCAAAUUUUUUGUUGCUUUUGGUUGUUGCUGUCGGUGCACGAAGCUGGCGUGCGUGGUCGGCGCGUCGCAGUGUACAGCAUUUGCCAUUGCGGCGGCGGCAAUGUCUCAUUAAGGCCAAGUGGUUAGCUGAACGCAGUUAAUCUUCCAACAGCGCUGCAAUGCAGACGCAGGGCGUGGUGCACUGUUGUUCAGUUUUUUGUUGCUUUUUGUGGUUUUUUUGAAAAAAAAAAAAUACUUUGGUGAAUUCCGUAAUUUUCCCUUAGUUUACUCGGCCACACUGCCUGCCCGCAAGCUAUAAUUUUGUAACUGUCAAGCGCGAGCAAUUCGAAACAAAGUUAACAACCGGCAAACAUGUGUACAUAUAUACUUACAUGUAUGUAUCGAAUGUUUGUAUGUCCGUUAGUUGCUGUAAAUAAAUUAAGUUUUCAGAAAAAAUGCAAUGCACUGACCUUCGUUGAGGCGCUCUUCAACGCACACAUUAUUGACGCUUCAAUUUCAACAAGCUGUGUAAUUUCUUAGCGACUUCACUCUCGGCGCAGCCUCGAGAAACCGGCUCCCGAAGUGCGGGCGCAUCUCGCGCUCAUUUCGUGUCAGUCAUUCGAUUCAGCUUUUGAAUCGUUUGUUGGCGUCAUGCAGGUACACAUACUAUGUAUUGGAGCUCUGGCGGCAAAUUAUUGAAUGAUUUUCUGAUUGACAAUUUCAAAAUUUUGCUACUAAGUUUGGCGCGCAGUGAGGGUUAGUAUAUAUGUAGAUAUGAAAUGAAAUGCAUGCAUGUGCGGCAAAAUGCAUUUCUGCGGUCAUUAAAAUUCUAUGCCUGUAUUAGCAUGCCUACUCUAAUUCAUUUAGAAGCUUUAUGAGCGCAUAUUUGAUCUUAUUUUGCGGUUAAAAUGGUCAUUAAAGUCGCUGCGGCUUCGCAAUUCUCUUUUGCGGUUGUGCGACCACAAAGUAAUGAACUCUUGUGCGCAUUAAUUAAUCGAAAAUUAUUUACGCAAAUUGCAGCGAGUUGUGGAAGUGAAAUGUAAGCUGCUAAAAUUUGGAAAAUUUUAGUGUCAGAAAGCAAAUUUCCAACAAAUUUCCACAAAUGUUUUUGUAAUAGUACAUUUUGUAACAAAUUUUCGCACAUUUGCCAUGAGUCGUUGGGUGCACUAUAGCAACAUAAAUAGUCUCUAAUUUCACACAAUUAAAUAAAUUCACUGAAUUUGUGUGUAAUUUUUCAACAAAUCAAUCACAGACUGGGCGGGAAAUUAAUAAAGCAUUGUGCUCUUUGCUGAUUUUGCAUUCACAAGUGUGGUUAUAUACAUAUGUACGUACGUUGUUCGGCACACAAUGCUUGGCAAUCAGCAGCAAUUAAUCACAGUCUAUUAGAAUUGAUUCAAAAUCAUGUUUUUGGUGCAGAAACUAUUAUUUGUGGUCGUGCUGAAUUACUAAUCAAGCACAUGAAAGCAACACAGUACAAAAUGUCCAAAUUUUUAAAAUUUUUGAGUGGCAGCUACUUGCAAUGCCUCUAUAUGUGGCAUAUGCAUAUGUAGUUUUAUAGGUUAUCUAAUACAUUUUUUUGUAAGAGGAUUCAUAUGCCAAAUAAAUAAAUAAAUAUUUUUCUGGUAUUUACACAAACAUGCAAAAUUAAUGUGAGGCACAAAAUGUAGCAGCAUUUCAUAUAGAUUUUUCAGAGCAUAUACAUAUAUAUCUGGUUGUCAUAUAAUUUGAAUUUGAUUAAAAGUGAAAUUUUGCAACUAAAAAAUGUUGUUUCCAAAAUAUAUACUAAAAUUUAGAAUAAAAUAAAA